rnacentral:rRNA from 1 species
UAGGGAAUCUUCGGCAAUGGGGGGAACCCUGACCGAGCAACGCCGCGUGAGUGAAGAAGGUUUUCGGAUCGUAAAGCUCUGUUGUUAAGGAAGAACGAGUGUGAGAAUGGAAAGUUCAUACUGUGACGGUACUUAACCAGAAAGGGACGGCUAACUACGUGCCAGCAGCCGCGGUAAUACGUAGGUCCCGAGCGUUGUCCGGAUUUAUUGGGCGUAAAGCGAGCGCAGGCGGUUAGAUAAGUCUGAAGUUAAAGGCAGUGCUCAACCAUUGUAGGCUUUGGAAACUGUUUAACUUGAGUGCAGAAGGGGAGAGUGGAAUUCCAUGUGUAGCGGUGAAAUGCGUAGAUAUAUGGAGGAACACCGGUGGCGAAAGCGGCUCUCUGGUCUGUAACUGACGCUGAGGCUCGAAAGCGUGGGGAGCGAACAGG